rnacentral:ncRNA from 2 species
UCACAGUCCAGUGGUGAUUUGGCCGGUCGCUUGCAGCCACUUAAAAGAAAUCGCUAAAGACCGUCGUGGGAACCGG